rnacentral:rRNA from 1 species
UGGGGAAUAUUGCACAAUGGGCGCAAGCCUGAUGCAGCCAUGCCGCGUGUAUGAAGAAGGCCUUCGGGUUGUAAAGUACUUUCAGCGGGGAGGAAGGGAGUAAAGUUAAUACCUUUGCUCAUUGACGUUACCCGCAGAAGAAGCACCGGCUAACUCCGUGCCAGCAGCCGCGGUAAUACGGAGGGUGCAAGCGUAAAUCGGAAUUACUGGGCGUAAAGCGCACGCAGGCGGUUUGUUAAGUCAGAUGUGAAAUCCCCGGGCUCAACCUGGGAACUGCAUCUGAUACUGGCAAGCUUGAGUCUCGUAGAGGGGGGUAGAAUUCCAGGUGUAGCGGUGAAAUGCGUAGAGAUCUGGAGGAAUACCGGUGGCGAAGGCGGCCCCCUGGACGAAGACUGACGCUCAGGUGCGAAAGCGUGGGGAGCAAACAGG